AUGGAAGACUUCGAGGUCGAGUCCGGGGACUCCGACGUGGAGCUCAGGCGCACUAGGGUGGAUGAGAAGGAUGACCACAACGAGGUCGUCGAGAUCAAGUCAUUUGCUGCCGCCAAGAGUUCCCUCUCCCAAGGUUUUGAUGGUUCUUCAGCAAAAAGGAAGAGAAAGAGUCAAUUCAGGGGUAUUCGUCAGCGCCCCUGGGGUAAGUGGGCUGCUGAAAUCAGAGAUCCAAGCAAGGGUGCACGUGUCUGGCUUGGUACUUUCAACAGUGCUGAAGAAGCUGCGAGAGCUUAUGAUGUUGAAGCACGCAGGAUCCGUGGCAACAAGGCCAAGGUUAACUUUCCAAAGGAACUAAUAAUUCCUCAGAAGCGUCGUGCUCGCCCUGCUGCUCCUAAAUCACCAAAGCUAAGCGUGGCACCGGAACCUUCUGUCAUGCCAUCAGUCAACAACCUUGCCAACCCAAAUGCUUUCAUCUACCCAUCUGCUAACUUUGCAUCAAACCAGCCACUUGCUCUUCCUGACAACCUGUCAUUUGUUCAUGCAAUGAACUCGGAUGGCCAUGUUGAAGCCUCUGUUAUGAAUUCGUACUCUGACCAGGGAAUCAACUCCUUUAGCUUCUCUGACUUGGAGUGGGAUUAUGACACCAAGAAUCCAGAUAUACCAUCCAUUGCUCCCAUUUCUACCAUUACUGAAGGAGCAGAAUCUGCACUUGCCCAGAGUAACGCCUAUAACUCAGUUGUGAUUGCUGGAGGAGCUGAAUCUGCACUUGCCCAGAGUAACACCAACAACUUAGUGGUGCCUCAUGUUAUGGAGAACAAUGAUGUCGAUUUUGAGGCUUGGACGAGGUUUCUUAUAUAUGAUGGCGUGGACGAGCCGAUUGAUAGCCUUCUGAAUUUUGAUGUGCCUCGGGAUGUCAUUGGCAACAUGGACCUCUGGAGCUUCGAUGACAUGCCCAUGUGUGGCGAAUUUUUCUAA
rnacentral:rRNA from 1 species